rnacentral:tRNA from 1 species
GAGGGUGUAGCUCAGUGGCAGAGCACAUGCGUGACAUGCACAGGUCCUGGGUUCAAUCCCCAGCACCUCCA